GGCGGGGCCUCGGACUUCCGGGACCGAGGGCGGCGGGGACGUAGACGCGCAGCGCGGUGGGCGUGGCCUCCGUGCGUCUGUUCUGCGCUCGGGCGCGGCGCCGCCAUGCCGGCCUCGCUAGCGGCCGCCGCGUCCCCGAGUGGGGUUUACGCCUUUGGAAGUGUGACGGCGCCCCCGGGCUCUGCCGUCUCCCUUCCACGGGGCAGUGCUCGGGGCAGUACUGUGCCUCCUCCUAGGACGUCUUCAAAACAACGACUUCCAUUCUACGAAGGCACACGCGUUGUUGGCAGAAAGUUCGGAAAGGAAAAAAAGGCCCGCGCUUCGGCCCCGCGGGAUCAGCCGUGAUUUAUUUAUUUGAAAGGCAGAGUUACAGAGAGAGAGGGCUUCCGUCCACUGGUUCACUCACCAAAUGGCUGCAGUGGCCGGAGCUGCGCCAAUCAGAAGCCAGGAGCUUCCUCUGGGUCUCCCACACGGGUGCAGGGGCCCAAGGACUUGGACCAUCUUCUACUGCUUUCCUAGGCCAUAGCAGAGAGCUGGAUGGGAAGAGGAGCAGCUGGGAGCAGAACCGGAAUCCACAUGGGAUACCGGCACUGCAGGUGCGUCACCCACUACGCCACAGUGCCAGCCCCCAGCCCUUUGCUGCCUGCAGUGACCUGGGCUCCAUGGGCAGCCCUGCAGGUGGGGCAGGGCCAACUUCACUCACCCGAAGGACGCCGUCUGGGGUCCAUGCUCCCUCGUUUGUCUAAGUCGUCGUGUGUGUUCCAGAACAUUCCCUGGGGCGGGCCCCCCGGAUGUGGAAUUGGCGAGUCAGAGAAGGUAAACACGACACUUCUUGUAGCCACACCCUUUUUCUCUUUACAUAUUUUCCAGAUUUAAAAAUCAGCGAGUGUUUAAGUAAAUGAGUCGAACAGAGGACUGCAUGUGUCUAUAAAUAUGUAAAAUAAAGGGUCUCAUAGAACACGUGAAGAGUUCUACAGCUAGCAGCAGGCUGUGCAGGAUACGGAUGGGCAGAGGACUCGGAUGCCGUUGCUGCGGAAUGAAAGACAAAUGACCAGUGAGCUCCAGAAGUCCUUGGGGACAUGCAGAUCAAAGCCGGAGGAGCCAGCCCUUCGCACCCACCAGCCCUUCACACUCUGCCUCGACGACAGAGAAUGACAGGUGCUGGUGCAGAAAUGGGGACACUGGAGCCCCAGGGCUGGCGGGAGCGUGAAAGGGCGCGGCUGCUUUGCAGAACGGUCCGGGGUCCUCAGAGCUGAGCAGGAGCCUCCCCGGGGCCCAGGAGCCGCACCGGCACCCUGCAGCCUCGUCCCGGCAGACAGGCAGUGCGGCCGACCCAGACAUCCAUCAGUGGGCGAAUGCAGACAGGCAGACGGCUGUCACUCAGCCCUAAAGAGCUGACUCGCGCUCCAACACAGUCAGCCUCGAGAAGUUUUCGCCAAAUGAAAUAAACCAGGUACAGCAGAAGGCAGUGUACGGUUCCUCCCGCAUGAGGUGCCCAGAGCAGUCAAAUUCCAGUGCCCACGGCAACCCGAGAGACACGAUCCGGCGUGCCCUCACCCCAAACACUGAAGUGCAGGAAGACCAAACUCCCCGAAGUCUGAAGUCCUGAAAUGACAGUCUUGCACAGCACAGUUUGGAAGAAUCGAAAGAUCGCGACAUCUGGGGUGGUGCCUUGUGGGAUCCAGGACGCAAGCCCGGCAUAUCGGCAGAGGUGGUUACCAGGUGCUGGCGGGGGGGGGGGGGGGUCUCUUAGCCAGGCACUGAGUUUCGUUUGGGGUGAUGAAAAGUUGCGGAGUGGUUAGGGGUGGCGCCGCGCACGCGGCUGCAACGUUGGUGUUACCGUGUUUUACCUUACACAAAGUCAACCUGGGGAGAACAGGCUGAUUUUUCCUGCAUGCCGGCCGGCAGGCAGCCAGCCUGCUCCUGCUGGGUGACCUUGGCCGCGAGCUGAGGACGGGCCUCUGGGGAGCGCAGCUCUGGCCUCACCUGUAGCGUUUUCCACACCAGCUUCCAAGCUGGGAGAGCGAAACGUGGCUCUGGGAGGCGGUGAGUCACUCCAGAUCUGUAUCUGAACGUGGUCUUGUUUUGAAUGUGGUCUUGUGCACACACGUGCACACACACAUGCACACACACACGCAUGCACACGUGAUUCCCUCGUUCCCUCACGGUGUCCACAAUCAGCGAUUUUGGAAACAGACUAGCACCCACAAAGAAAUAUCAAAGACACCAAGGCCCAACCUGGA